GAUGAACGCUGGCGGCGUGCCUAAUACAUGCAAGUCGAGCGAACAGACGAGGAGCUUGCUCCUCCGACGUUAGCGGCGGACGGGUGAGUAACACGUAGGUAACCUACCUAUAAGACUGGGAUAACUUCGGGAAACCGGAGCUAAUACCGGAUAAUAUUUCGAACCGCAUGGUUCGAUAGUGAAAGAUGGUUUUGCUAUCACUUAUAGAUGGACCUGCGCCGUAUUAGCUAGUUGGUAAGGUAACGGCUUACCAAGGCAACGAUGCGUAGCCGACCUGAGAGGGUGAUCGGCCACACUGGAACUGAGACACGGUCCAGACUCCUACGGGAGGCAGCAGUAGGGAAUCUUCCGCAAUGGGCGAAAGCCUGACGGAGCAACGCCGCGUGAGUGAUGAAGGUCUUCGGAUCGUAAAACUCUGUUAUUAGGGAAGAACAAACGUGUAAGUAACUAUGCACGUCUUGACGGUACCUAAUCAGAAAGCCACGGCUAACUACGUG
rnacentral:rRNA from 1 species